rnacentral:rRNA from 1 species
AACGAACGCUGGCGGCAUGCCUAACACAUGCAAGUCGAACGAGACCUUCGGGUCUAGUGGCGCACGGGUGCGUAACGCGUGGGAACCUGCCCUUAGGUUCGGAAUAACUCCCCGAAAGGGGUGCUAAUACCGGAUAAUGUCUUCGGACCAAAGAUUUAUCGCCUUUGGAUGGGCCCGCGUUGGAUUAGCUAGUUGGUAGGGUAAAAGCCUACCAAGGCGACGAUCCAUAGCUGGUCUGAGAGGAUGAUCAGCCACACUGGGACUGAGACACGGCCCAGACUCCUACGGGAGGCAGCAGUGGGGAAUAUUAGACAAGGGGCGAAAGCCUGAUCCAGCAAUGCCGGGUGAGUGAUGAAGGCCGUAGGGUUGUAAAGCUCUUUUACCCGGGAUGAUAAUGACAGUACCGGGAGAAUAAGCUCCGGCUAACUCCGUG